rnacentral:rRNA from 1 species
CCAAGGUUUCCAGGGGAAGGUUCGUCCGCCCUGGGUAAGUCGGGACCUAAGGCGAGGCCGAAAGGCGUAGUCGAUGGACAGCAGGUUGAUAUUCCUGCACCCGCGAGUAAAGUGAUGGAGUGACAGAUAGGGUUAACCCAAGUCCUUAAUGGAUUGGGCAAGGCAAGCAGGAGAGUGGCGUAGGCAAAUCCGCGCCGGAUACUCAAAGGCUUGACUCAAGCGAACGCGCGAGCAAGUAGUGAAGAGGGUGAUACCAGGUCUCAAGAAAAGCUUCUAGCGAUAAUUUACUAGCGGCCCGUACCAAAACCGACACAGGUGGUUGAGGCGAGUAGCCUAAGGUGAGCGAGAGAACUGUUGCCAAGGAACUCGGCAAAUUGACCCCGUACGUUAGCAAUAAGGGGUGCUCGAAAGAGCCGCAGUGAAUAGGCCCUAGCAACUGUUUAACUAAAACAUAGCUCUCUGCGAAGUCGCAAGACGAAGUAUAGGGGGUGACACCUGCCCGGUGCUGGAAGGUCAAGGGGAUUUGUCAGACGCAAGUCGAAGCAUUGAACCGAAGCCCCAGUGAACGGCGGCCGUAACUAUAACGGUCCUAAGGUAGCGAAAUUCCUUGUCAGGUAAGUUCUGACCCGCACGAAAGGUGUAAUGAUUUGGGCACUGUCUCGGCAGCAGACUCGGUGAAAUCUUAGUACCUGUGAAGAUGCAGGUUACCCGCAACUAGACGGAAAGACCCCAUGGAGCUUUACUGUAGUCUGCUAUUGAGUUUCGGUUAAGUAUGCACAGGAUAGGUGGGAGACGAUGAGACUGGUCUUUCGGGAUCAGAGGAGUCACUGUUGGGAUACCACUCUUACUUAAUUGAAAUUCUAACUCUAAGCCGUGAUCCGGCUAGAGGACCGUGGCAGAUGGGCAGUUUGACUGGGGCGGUCGCCUCCCAAAGAGUAACGGAGGCGCACAAAGGUACUCUCAGAAUGGUUGGAAAUCAUUCAACGAGCGCAAACGCAGAAGAGUGCUUGACUGCGAGACAAACAAGUCGAGCAGGGACGAAAGUCGGUGUUAGUGAUCCGGCGGUGCAGAAUGGAAUGGCCGUCGCUUAACGGAUAAAAGCUACCCUGGGGAUAACAGGCUGAUCUCGCCCAAGAGUUCACAUCGACGGCGAGGUUUGGCACCUC